rnacentral:rRNA from 1 species
GCGUUAUCCGGAUUUAUUGGGUUUAAAGGGUGCGUAGGCGGCCUGUUAAGUCAGGGGUGAAAGACGGUAGCUCAACUAUCGCAGUGCCCUUGAUACUGAUGGGCUUGAAUGUACUAGAGGUAGGCGGAAUGUGACAAGUAGCGGUGAAAUGCAUAGAUAUGUCACAGAACACCAAUUGCGAAGGCAGCUUACUAUGGUAUGAUUGACGCUGAGGCACGAAAGCGUG